AGUAAAAUGCCUGAAAAAGGAUUAAAUUGUAAAUUUAAAAAUAAUAGAAGAAUCUGUUUUUUACUA
rnacentral:tRNA from 1 species